CCUACGGGAGGCAGCAGUGAGGAAUAUUGGUCAAUGGCCGCAGGGCUGAACCAGCCAAGUCGCGUGAGGGAUGACGGUCCUAUGGAUUGUAAACCUCUUUUGGCAGGGAGCAAAGGGCGCCACGUGUGGCGCUUUGCGAGUACCUGAAGAAAAAGCAUCGGCUAACUCCGUGCCAGCAGCCGCGGUAAUACGGGGGAUGCGAGCGUUAUCCGGAUUGAUUGGGUUUAAGGGGUGCGCAGGCGGAAUGUCAAGUCAGCGGUAAAAUUUCGGGGCUCAACCCCGUCGUGCCGUUGAAACUGGCGUUCUUGAGUGAGCGAGAAGUAUGCGGAAUGCGUGGUGUAGCGGUGAAAUGCAUAGAUAUCACGCAGAACCCCGAUUGCGAAGGCAGCAUACCGGCGCCCUACUGACGCUGAGGCACGAAAGUGCGGGUAUCGAACAGGAUUAGAUACCCCAGUAGUC
rnacentral:rRNA from 1 species